UAGGGAAUCAUCGGCAAUGGGGGAAACCCUGACCGUGCAAUGCCGCGUGAGUGAUGAAGGCCUUCGGGUUGUAAAACUCUGUUGCGAAGGAAGAACAACCUAGAUAGAAUCUAGGUCUGACGGUACUUCGCCAGAAAGCCAUGGCUAACUACGUGCCAGCAGCCGCGGUAAUACGUAGAUGGCGAGCGUUAUCCGGAUUUAUUGGGCGUAAAGGGUGCUCAGCUGGUUUGUUAAGUCUGUAGUUAAAAUUCGAAGCUCAACUUCGAAGUGCUAUGGAAACUGAUAAACUUGAGUGCAGAAGAGGGUAGUGGAAUUCCAUGUGAAGCGGUAAAAUGCGUAGAUAUAUGGAGGAACACCAGUGGCGAAGGCGGCUACCUGGUCUGCAACUGACGGUCAAGCACGAAAGCGUGGGGAGCAAAUA
rnacentral:rRNA from 1 species